rnacentral:rRNA from 1 species
UACGUAGGGCGCAAGCGUUGUCCGGAAUUAUUGGGCGUAAAGAGCUCGUAGGCGGUCUGUCGCGUCUGGUGUGAAAAUCCAGGGCUUAACCCUGGACCUGCAUCGGGUACGGGCAGACUAGAGUGCGGUAGGGGAGAUCGGAAUUCCUGGUGUAGCGGUGAAAUGCGCAGAUAUCAGGAGGAACACCGGUGGCGAAGGAGGAUCUCUGGGACGUAACUGACGCUGAGGAGCGAAAGCAUGGGGAGGGAACAGG